rnacentral:rRNA from 1 species
ACACUCCUACGGGAGGCAGCAGUGAGGAAUAUUGGACAAUGGGUGGAAGCCUGAUCCAGCCAUCCCGCGUGCAGGAAGACGGCCCUAUGGGUUGUAAACUGCUUUUAUCUGGGGAUAAAGCUACUUACGUGUAAGUAGCUGAAGGUACCAGAAGAAUAAGCACCGGCUAACUCCGUGCCAGCAGCCGCGGUAAUACGGAGGGUGCAAGCGUUAUCCGGAUUUAUUGGGUUUAAAGGGUCCGUAGGCGGACUGAUAAGUCAGUGGUGAAAUCCGACAGCUUAACUGUCGAACUACCAUUGAUACUGUUAGUCUUGAGUAAGGUUGAAGUGGCUGGAAUAAGUAGUGUAGCGGUGAAAUGCAUAGAUAUUACUUAGAACACCAAUUGCGAAGGCAGGUCACUAAGUCUUAACUGACGCUGAUGGACGAAAGCGUGGGGAGCGAACAGGAUUAGAAACCCCAGUAGUCCCAUGA